rnacentral:rRNA from 1 species
UACAGAGGUCUCAAGCGUUGUUCGGAUUCAUUGGGCGUAAAGGGUGCGUAGGUGGCGCUGUAAGUCAGGUGUGAAAUCUCGGGGCUUAACUCCGAAACUGCAUUCGAUACUGCCGUGCUUGAGGACUGGAGAGGAGACUGGAAUUUACGGUGUAGCGGUGAAAUGCGUAGAUAUCGUAAGGAAGACCAGUGGCGAAGGCGGGUCUCUGGACAGUUCCUGACGCUGAGGCACGAAGGCCAGGGGAGCAAACGGG